GAUUUUGCCGUAGUUAAAAUUAUGCCAUUUAUGCACCGUUGUGCUCAACAACUUUUCCUGUUUGAAGCUCUCAUGUAAAAACAGUUGACCUAAUUGGCAAAAAAAUAAGACUAUCGCUUUUCACAGACUGCUCUUGAAUCGUAUUCUUCAGCAGCCAAGUUAUUCACCAUUCAGAAACAGGUGCGAAUCACUUGAUGCAAGGUCCGGAUAUGGGGAUAGAUAAAGAAGAAUCUCACAACCAUGAACUCGCAGCUUCUGGUGAUAGAUUGUCAAUGAUUGCGAGCCGGCAUUUGACCAAAGGAAAUGCGAUGAUCAGUUGAUAAUCACUGUCAGACCCGGUUAAUACUCUCUUUCCAAGGGUUACCAGAAAGCUCAUUGGAGAAAUCAUGGUUGAAAGCCCAGUAGUGAGGAGAUCGAAAAUGUUAUCUGACUGGUAUGACUGCCACAAAAAUCUUUUAGCGGAUACACGCUUUUUCAGAAAGCAUCUAGAGAUCAUAACCAAACCAUAAUUGAAAAAAUAUUUUAGAUUCAUCAAAUGCUAUAAUACAUCGUCCUCAGAAAUAGUUGAAGAGUCCAUUAUUGUUGUUGAGCACUGUCGCAUGACAAAAUGGAUUUAAAUUUCAUGGUGGACGUAAAGGUAGAAAACCUACUCGAGAAAUUUUCGCAAAAAAACGAGUUACAUAGGUCUUGAAACUUCAAAGGAAUAUUUUUCCCAACUCACAAGUCGAUCGAGAUGAAACUGCAGAAAUUAGCGACUUUUAUAAACCACCGUCUUUGCCAUGGCUUGAUCGAUGGGGAAACUUUAAACGCGUUUUUCUUAAAACCACUUUAUCCAAAUCAGUAGUCAAAAUUUCUCAACGAUUAUUAAAGCGAUGGAGUCCAAAUUUUCCACACUACCUUUAAACAUGUUUUUGUAGUCCCUGAAUGAAGGAUUUAUUUUAUUUUUUAUUUCAACACAGUUUACAAGCCAACAUGUGGCCUAGUUUUAUGCCAAA